UGGGGAAUUUUCCGCAAUGGGCGAAAGCCUGACGGAGCAACGCCGCGUGAGGGAGGAAGGCUCUUGGGUUGUAAACCUCUUUUCUCAAGGAAGAUAAUGACGGUACUUGAGGAAUCAGCAUCGGCUAACUCCGUGCCAGCAGCCGCGGUAAUACGGAGGAUGCAAGCGUUAUCCGGAAUAAUUGGGCGUAAAGCGUUCGUAGGUGGUUUUGUAAGUCUGCUGUUAAAGCGUGUAGCUCAACUACAUAUAGGCAGUGGAAACUACAAGACUUGAGUGCGUUCGGGGUAGAGGGAAUUCCUGGUGUAGCGGUGAAAUGCGUAGAGAUCAGGAAGAACACCGGUGGCGAAGGCGCUCUACUAGACCGCAACUGACACUGAGGGACGAAAGCUAGGGGAGCGAAUGGGAUUAGAUACCCCCGUAGUCC
rnacentral:rRNA from 1 species